GAUCCUGCCAGUGGUAUAUGCUUGUUUCAAAGACUAAGCCAUGCAUGUCUAAGUCCAAGCCCGGUGGCUUAUGUCACACUCGGGCGAAACCGCGGACGGCUCAUUAAAUCAGUCGUGGUCCAAAUGGGUCAGUACAACGAGAUUUAUCUCGUUGCAAACUUGGAUAACUGUGGUAAUUCUAGAGCUAAUACAUGCACCCGAAUGUCUUGGUUCCUUCGCGGGAACAAAGACUGCUUUUAUUAGUACCUUGGCAGGCCUUGUGCCUUGCUCUAAUGGUGACUCUGGAUAUCAAACCAACGGUCGACGGGGUCUGUGGUCUCUCUCACGGGGGGCCGCGCCUCGUCGACCCGAGACGAGCGAUCUCUGUUCCUUUACGGGCUCGGAGACGCCGCCACUUUCGAGUGACUGCCUUAUCAGCUGUUGAUUGCUCGGUACAUGCGAGCGACUGGCUUUGACGGGUAACGGGGAAUCAGAAUUCGAUUCCGGAGAGGGAGCCUGAGAAACGGCUACCACGUCCAAGGACAGGCAGCAGGCGCGCAAAUUACCCAAUGCCAGGAAAUUCCUGGGUGAGGUAGUGACGAAGUCUAACGCUGUUGUGACCCAUACAAGGGUCUCACGAGCGGAAUGAGCACUCACGGGGAGGCGUGCUCUCACGGGUGCGUCUUCCCGGUCUGUAAAAACUCUGGUCGAGAACCUACUGAAGGGCAAGUCUGGUGCCAGCAGCCGCG
rnacentral:rRNA from 1 species